rnacentral:tRNA from 1 species
GUUUUAAUAGUUUAAUAAAAACACUGGUCUUGUAUACCAAAAUUAAGAUAGUAUCUUUUAAAACU